rnacentral:misc_RNA from 1 species
ACUUGGUUCACAUAUUUGGGUGGGGAAAAUUCAACAACCAAGCUCAGUUGAAGGUGGAGGAUGGCAUGGGCUUUUGGUUUUGGCAGUAGCUAGCUAUUAGUGUAUUUUUUUUUUAGUGCUAAAUUUUAGUCAAUAAAAUUCAGUCUUUAGCUUUGUAUUUUUGUCUCCCAUUUUUCAACAACAUUAACGAGAAAUAAUGGGUACCAUAUUGCAAGAAGACAGGACAGCGUUGUUAUUACUUGCUAAUUUUCU